rnacentral:rRNA from 1 species
UGCAAGUCGAGCGGUAACAGAAUAGCUUGCUAUCUGCUGACGAGCGGCGGCGGGUGAGUAAUGCUUGGGAAUAUGCCUUUGAGGGGGGACAACAGUUGGAAACGACUGCUAAUACCGCAUAACGUCUACGGACCAAAGGGGGGGAUCUUCGGACCUCUCGCUCAUUGAUUAGCCCAAGUGAGAUUAGCUAGUUGGUAAGGUAAUGGCUUACCAAGGCGACGAUCUCUAGCUGGAUUGAGAGGAUGAUCAGCCACACUGGGACUGAGACACGGCCCAGACUCCUACGGGAGGCAGCAGUGGGGAAUAUUGCACAAUGGGCGAAAGCCUGAUGCAGCCAUGCCGCGUGUGUGAAGAAGGCCUUCGGGUUGUAAAGCACUUUCAGUUGUGAGGAAAGGGGUGUAGUUAAUAGCUGCAUUCUGUGACGUUAACAACAGAAGAAGCACCGGGUAACUUCGUGCCAGCAGCCGCGGUAAUACGAGGGGUGCAAGCGUUAAUUGGAAAUACUGGGCGUAAAGCGUUCGUAGGCGGUCUAUUAAGCAAGAUGUGAAAGCCCAGGGCUCAACCCUGGAACUGCAUUUUGAACUGGUAGACUAGAGUACUGUAGAGGGUGGUGGAAUUUCCAGUGUACGCGGUGAAAUGCGUAGAGAUUGGAAGGAACAUCAGUGGCGAAGGCGGCCACACUGGACAGAUACUGACGCUGAGGAACGAAAGCGUGGGGAGCGAACAGGAGUUAGAUACCCUUGAGUGCCGCCGUAAACGAUGUCAACUAGCCGUUUGUGCCUUAAGACGUGAGUGGCGCAGCUAACGCAUAAGUUGACCGCCUGGGGAGUACGGCCGCAAGGUAAAACUACAAAUGAAGUCGAA